GACGAACGCUGGCGGCGUGCUUAACACAUGCAAGUCGAACGGAAAGGCCCUGCUUUUGUGGGGUGCUCGAGUGGCGAACGGGUGAGUAACACGUGAGUAACCUGCCCUUGACUUUGGGAUAACGUCAGGAAACUGGGGCUAAUACCGGAUAGGAGCUCCUGCUGCAUGGUGGGGGUUGGAAAGUUCCGGCGGUUGGGGAUGGAUUCGCGGCUUAUCAGCUUGUUGGUGGGGUAGUGGCUUACCAAGGCUUCGACGGGUAGCCGGCAUGGGAGGGUUGCCAGCCUCAAGAGUACUGAGAGACGGAGCAGACGCGUACGGGAGGCAGCAGGCGAGAGUAUUGCGCAGUAGGCGGGAGCGAGAUGUGGAGGCGCCGCGUGCGUGAUGACGGCCUUCGAGUUGUAAACCACUUUCGACUGUGACGUAGCGUGAGUGACGGUAAUGGGUAAAGAAGCACCGGCUAACUACGUG
rnacentral:rRNA from 1 species